GUGUAACUGAGCAAAGCACAAUUUGUGAACUAAGCAGCUCUCAGAAUCGGAAGAGGUUCAGAGAGCUCCUUCCAGCAGGCAGCAUUUACGGAAAGAAAAGGAAGUGAGGUGCUUAUACAGCUGGAUGGGUUACAGCUGGGUUUGCCUUAUUUGGGUGGCGUGUGAUCAGUGCAGCCUGUGAUUGGUGAAGCUCAGCUGUUGUGAUUGGCUGAGACUCAGCUGGUUGUUACAAAAAAAAAUACUCCUAGUUACGCUUUCAGUUUGUUUAAGUACUAAGUUAGGUUGCAGUUUGUUAAGUAGGAACAUGGGUAUAGAUGCUGCCUGAGGUCAAACUCACUUUAUCCUGUCCAGAACAGGCCGUUUUGGUCAGUAAGGUUGUGACCAGUAAACAAGUCCUGCUGGACCUCAAAACCAAUAAAGCCAAAGACCACAAACUCUGUUGAGUGUGACUCGCUAUUUGGAGUAUGUUACACUCCCACCGUUGAGUGUGUACUUUCGCUUUGCAAUAAAAGCCUCUUUAUUUUUGCUUUGAUUCAUCCUUGAAUUUCUUCCUGUGACGGUGCCAAGAACCUGGGCAAGAAGCUGGGGUGAAGUCUCACCAGCGUUCGGAGACCCACCAAGCCCACCAGCAUCAUAGGAACCUCUGUUGAGCCCUGUGUUCAGUGCACCGGAGGCCUGGUGGUUGUCCCUGUGUGUCCGGAAUUGGUGGGUUCUUGGUCUCACUGACUUCAGGAAUGAAGCCGCGGACCCUUGCGGGACAGGGUCUCACUAGGUUGCCUGGGCUGGUGUCAAACUCCUGGCCUCGAGUGAUCCUCCUGCCUCAGCCUCCUGAGUAGCUGGGAUUACAGGAAGAGUGGAUAAAAAGGACACAUCUCCACCUGGAGAGGAAGCGAGAAGCAAGCCAAUGUAAAGGGUAAUAUAAUCACCGGCAGCUGAGAGACAAUGACAUUUUUAUAGACCUUCUGGCAACGUUGCAGUGUGAAAGAGCCUGACAGCAUCACUGAGAACUGUUGUGUACAUGCGGACUGUGGUGCUCUUGGCCACACUGAAUGGGCCCACAAGGGGACCCCUGGGACAUCCUGCACUCAUUUAGAAAUGGCCAAGAGGACUUAGAAAGAAGAAAAUUGAUCCCACCAUUUCCAAAGGAUGGGGGUAAAUGUGGUUGUGAAUUCUUGUUCCUUGGUGAGUUUUGGGUAUUCUUCUUACAUGAAAUAACAUUCGACAGUGGUGUGCAGGCUGCAAAAGGCAGCUGAACUUCCGCAACUCUUCCUCAACAUGCUGUAAAGGGAUUACUCUGGGUCCUAACCUCUGAAGCCUGUGUGGGCCUACCUAGCCGAGGCGUUCAUGAUGAAGCGUGACUCAUCACUUCCUUGACACUUAGGCUGUGAAGAAUGAAGGCUGCUUCUGUAAGGGGUCACCCCCUGGUCCUUCUAGCCUGCCCUGUGUACAGGUUGAGGACACUCUUGUGGCUGGAGAAAGCUGUAUCUGAAGGUUGUAGAAACUUGCAGAAAGAAGCCAUCAAAGUGACUUGG